rnacentral:ncRNA from 2 species
AUUUCAUGCAGAGUGGUUGAGGGACGAGCCCUGUGACGCCACGACAACCGGACAGAAUAAAGUACCGGUGUCAACUCUCUCCUGGGAACAGGGCACAUGAGGU